GCAGAAUCCAGGAGUAAUGGCAAUACCCUCACCACAGUUUAAGGUUUCCAAGACACAGAACUUUGGAAGAGAGUUAAGUAGGAUUGCUGUGAGUGGAGUUUUGUUUUGUUUGUUUUAGUGUAAACUUGUUGAAUAGAAGCGGGUUCAGGGCAAGUUACAGAACAGCAGUGUAUGGAGUAUGCAAGUCUCAAAUAUCUCCAGCCUGCACUCAUUCAUUAAUGCAUGGAGGCACUAUUCUAGGUACUGGAGACAGAGCAGUGAAUAAAACAUUCAAGGUCCUGAAAUUCAUGGAAUUUAUAUUCUGAUGGGGGGAGGAAACAAAAAAAUCAGAGUGUGAUUCAUGCUGUGAAGGAAAUAAAACAGUGUGAAAGAGAGGGUGGGAGUGGCCACUGUAGUAGACAGGGGGAUCAGAAGAGGCCUCUUUUGGGAGGUGACAGUUGAGCCUGAUAACCAGAAAGAUGAGAAGGCACCAGUUGUGGGAAGAUCUGGGAGUGGAACAUUCUAAUCUAAGCAUUGUUACAUGCAGAAAAAGCACCUCUGCAAGGUGGGGAAAUUUAUCACAGAUAUUUAUUGAGGGCCUGCUGUGUACCAGGUGCUAUGCUAGGAAUUGGAGAUGUAGCAAUGAAUAAUAUAGCUACAGUCUUCCCUUCUCUCAUGGAUCUUACAGUCUAGGUGUUUUUGGAAGAGCUGCAGCCUUUGAAGAAACAUCUCUUGAUGAUGAUAUCAUAGACUCCUUCCUACUGGGCAGAUGAGGCAGAAUGGGGCACAGUAGUUCCAGCAAAAAUCCAGAGAGGACUAUCCUUGGCCAGGCUUUACCCCAUGUCCACUUCUGGAGCCAAGAAAGACAGUUCCUUCUCCAAGGGGAACCCAGGGUGUUGAUACUAGAAGAUGGAAAUGGAUACAGUAAGAUGCUGCCACAGUGAGAUGCCUCACCCAGGUCUCCCUCUGUCACUCCAGCCAAGCACAUGGGAUAGAAAGUAGCAGGCGGCCUCUGGCCCUUUAAUGGAAGAGGGCCAUCCAGUCCUCUCCAGUUAACAUCUAGACCGAACACAAAGCAUCCUUCUCUCAUCCAGAAGACAUAGGAACCCUACCUUCAGGGAUGAUUUUUUUUUAACAGUGAAAUCUUAAAAGUAACUGUUUCACUAAAGCCUCCAGUAUUUACUGAAGACUGUCAGAAUCAUCCUCCAUCACUAGAUCUUCUCCACCAGUCAUGUUCCCUGAGCAGUGGGGUGGCUUGAAGGUAUAAACCAGAGAGGCCCAAGGGAGGGAUAGUUAGCAGACUUCUGGUCUUUUUCUAGUUUGUGCUCAUCUGUUCCAAGGACCACAGGAUUCUUCUCAUCGCAGUGCUCCAGGCAG
rnacentral:lncRNA from 1 species